rnacentral:rRNA from 1 species
UACGUAGGGGGCUAGCGUUGUCCGGAUUUAUUGGGCGUAAAGGGCUCGUAGGCGGUCUGUUGCGUCGGGAGUGAAAACUUACAGCUUAACUGUGAGCGUGCUUCCGAUACGGGCAGACUUGAGGUAUUCAGGGGAGAACGGAAUUCCUGGUGUAGCGGUGAAAUGCGCAGAUAUCAGGAGGAACACCGGUGGCGAAGGCGGUUCUCUGGGAAUAUCCUGACGCUGAGGAGCGAAAGUGUGGGGAGCGAACAGG